CCUUGGAUAUCGUCAGUGGGAAGAAGUACAAACCCGAGCACUGUGAUUUCAGCUCACCACUACUUACCAGACUGCGGUGAGGGCAAGACGUGUCUAGUGACUAAAAGUAAAGUGAAAGACUGCACAACUCCACUAUGAAGGCCCAAGUGUGUGAUUCUCAAGUCUCAAGCCUUCCUACCAUCAGGAGCGGCAAGGUGUCCAAGGGCCGGGAGGAGGACUUCGAGGUGGCCCUCUACCUGGACAAGCUCAGGCACCUGUUGCCUACCGCCAGAAGCAGAAAAUCCCUCGACAAGAAACUCAACCGUUUGGAAGUGAUCGAGAGUGUGAUCCAAUACAUUAGCGAGCUGCAGGAGGUACUUAACAUCGACGUGCACGACCGCGAGAUGGACUUGCUGGAGUACGAGACGAGCAGUAUAACCCUGGCGGCGUGAAGUCCCCAGGGUAGCAGUGUUAAGAGUCACCAAAUGUUGUGCACUUAGGCUUGUGGUUGUCCAGCACCUGUCCCACGACCUGGCUUCCCAGCAGGGAGAGAGAAAGGGGUGAGGAGGAAGCCACCACGACUUGUACACGACUCGUGGACACCUACAAUUAAACGUCGUGUACUUGGGAGAAUCGCCGAAGCGAAACGUCGUCGUGGGGGAUCCCGCUCUCACCCUUCACGAUUAGAAACCGGAUGACUCUCACCCGUCAAGUUCCUGAGUAGUGUGUGACUUACACAAACUUUGAUUAAGUGCAUGUACGCGUUUGGUGAACUCUUAUAACAUAGUUCCUAUCAUUGUAACCGCCCAGAAAAAAUGCUGAAUUCCAGUGCUUUUUCAGAAUUUUAGUGUUUGUCCAGUGAUUUUUAGCCUAAGCAACACAAACUAUAAUAAAUCCCAAAUCUGUAUUACCAGUGACGUUAAACAUUCAGAUGAAACAAGUUUUCUUUUUUGAUCUCCGGGGAAACAUUACCUACGAGGAUUCUUCAGUUACAUCAAACCCUCUUCAUAUUUACCUUCUAGCAGGUGGUGCCAGUACCAACGAAGCAGACGCUACUCUGAAAACUUUCAAAAAGAGUUUUUGAAAAAUGAAAAUAAUAGCCACAUCUUGUGUAGCAUCUACACUAAACAGUAGUGUAAGGCGAACUUACAGAUGUAUACACAAUAAACGUUGCAGUGUAACAUCGAGUAUAGAAAAUGCACAGGCCACAAUAUACACGAAACAUCACCACCAGCAUAUCCGUGGUUAUACAUCUACCCACGAAACAUCAACUAUACGGAGGGCAGAUUCCAAGUCUGACAUUGGACUACAAGAAACGCCCUCGAGUACCCUACAAACCUACCUUUCCUCCCACCACCAGUCCGGAUGAUGCUAUCCUGGAGGAGGAGGAGGGGUGGGACAGGAGUUCUAAGGUUCCUGCGCCGUGCUCCGGAGAGGAAAGGGAAGAUAGAAGGUGGGGAGGGGGUGGGUAACCCACUGGCAGGGCUUGGUAACCUGAGCGCCUAACACUACUCGGCCCACCCGUGGUCACAACAGGUGCGCCUCCCUUGGGGGAAAGCUGAACACCCACCCACUCCCACCCGUUCUCCCGCGUUGCCUGCCGGAGGUGAAAACAGAUAAUAUUGAAAAGUCUGCCAUUUUAGGUGAGAUCUUGACUCCUAAGUAAACAAGUGUCUUGAACAAUGUGACAGCAUAAAUUCCUAUUAUAAUUUUGUUCUCAUGUGACGAUGUGAACUAGGCGCCAUACUGAACCAGAGGCAAAAUAAAGACAAACCACUGAAGAAUAAUGUAGAUGUUUGGAGUUGGUGCUAAAAAUCGCAAAGUGCUUGUAACCGCUCUAACCCCACUGUUUCUCCUUGUGCAUAAGUGUUUUUUUUUUUUUUCACUUUAUUGUGAUCAGUGACUGGACAACUUUUGUUAAUAAGAAUUGUGCCCAUUUCUACGUUCGACUGUACUUUCAAAGUGUUAGUUUCCAAGCUUUUGGUCGCUUGUAGGACACAGCGCUUGGAAUAUUUUUCCCCCAUCCCUCGAAUGUUAUGAUUUUUUUGUAAAUUCAUAUUAAGGAAGUAACUAAAUCGUGUACAUACUCACCCUGGCUACGAGAAUGAACAAAUAAAACCCGUCAUCACCCAGACUAUCAUCAUCACCCAGAGACUAAGAGCAUGCCCAGUACCUGCUCGCAUGAGUGCUAGGCGUUACUCUGCCCACCCUUCCUUCCCCAUCACACAAAAAAUGAGUUUAAUGAGAGUCUCGGCGUUGUGUAAGGCGAUCCUGGGGUCAGAUUUAAUCAGCCACCAGAAACUGGAGAUAGGACAAGGGUAAUCCCGAAGCUCAGGCUUUGAGACAUGCAGAGUUCAAGGAUGCCAGAGUGUUGUUAUUGGUGCAGUUUCUCUUGUGCUCUUCUUCACGUGCAUAAUACUUUAUUGCUUUUAUCUGCAUCUCUCCUCUCACCGCCCAGAGUAAUGUCAUGAGCCCUACCUGGGCUGCCACCUUUGUAAAUAUUGCAUGUUGCGUGGCGAUGGUGUGGUGAGAAAUACUUCACUCUGUGUUGUGUAUAUAUGGGUUGAGGUUAUAUCACUGAAUGUGAGCUAUUUCUCCUAAUAUAUGUGGGGACUGUCGCCCCCUGUAUUUUGUGUCAUGUUUUAUUUCACUGAAUAGUUAUUAAAGCAAAAUGGAUUACAUCUGCAGUGUGUUGCUAUCUUACUUUAUAUAAUAGAUACAUAGUGGAACAUAGGCAAGCUAGCUAGCAGGUGUGUGUAGGGGGUGAGAGAGAGGAGGGAGGGAGGGAGGAGUAACUUCACUUGUGUACUCGCCUGCUUGGGGUUGUGGGGGUUGAGUUUCUGCUCCUUGCCCCAUGUGAAUAAACAUUAAAUGUCUGGCCUGAUGGGUGGUAUUCUGCCUACUCCUAAAACCUUUGUAUGUAAUCUGCUGUGUGUAAGCGUGGUAAGGUAGAGACACUAGACUAUGUUGUUGUAUGUAUGUUUGUGUGGGCAGCGAGGGAAGAUUCAGACUUUACAUGGGUACAUUACUGUCAUCUGCAAGUCCUACAUCAGGCCAGCACGGCCAGAAGUGUCAGGCUGCUCUUCGCUGCUCACCAGCUAUGUGUGCCAGCGUUGUUGUGAGAGAUUCACGCAUUAGUAAGACUUAGCAUCGUUAAAAUGUGAUAUUGUGUGGUAACUAAAAAAAAUUAGACUAUAUUUGAUAACGAAACGUGUACAAAAAAAAAGAAUAUGUGGGUCCAGUUAGGGGCAUUUUGUAUUAAGCCAUGAGGUUCAUUGCUGUGGCCGGGCCCAAGCAGUAACUAAGACGUAGGUUAGAGGCAAGGGAGAGGUGCUGGGGGCUGGGACUGUGUGGCAGUGAUACCCAGGGGCGCACUUGGCGGAUCAGCCUCCUUCAUGCAGGGAACGACGCUCAAACAUAUGGCUUCUUGAAAUAAAUUUUUGUAUAGUGUACUGGAUUUUAUGGAGUGGUAAAGCAGUGGGGAGAGGGGAGGGGGAAGUCAUUCAGUGCAUGUAGUGGAGGCUCCGUCCACUAUAAUCGCCACACGGUGAACGGCUCCUGAUCCAGAAGAACUGGAGUUACCCCUCCUCUUCCUUGGUUCAGUCCUGGCUACUUCCCACUCCGCAGGCGCUGUAUGACCCUUACGGGUUUAGCGCUUUCCCGUGAACGUUGUAAUGUGACCAGUUAGGCUCAGCAACCACACGUAAUCAGUGGUUUGCGGUCACUCAUAGGAUUUGAUCUUGUAAGUCAAGUAUGUUAAUAAUACAUAAUAUACAGUUUGUGUCAUUUUUAUUGAGAGGUCGCAUCCUCCACCGUCCAGGGACUGUCUGCUCUCGCCGACUGAUGAAGUCCCGACUGGGGUUUCAUCAGUCGGCAAGUGAGCCUUAAAACUUACAGGCCUGUGCGUUAACCACUGGGCCAGUUGACUCUAAUAAGAUUCAUCCCACUUGGUUAUAUUAUUCCUGUACAAUGUGAUUUGUUUGCAACCGCGCCACUGCGAUUUCGCGAGUCUUCUCAGUAAGGUGGAAUAACCCGCAUACUGUGUCUUAUUAGCAUACUUGUCGGUAUAUAAUACCAGUGAUAUACACUUGUAAGGAAGAUUCUUGUUGUUGUGAGUGGGCGCCAGGGGUAAGGAUCCACCCAGGGGAACCCCGCUAUGAAUCAACUCGUGAUUCCUGUGAUAGCCCGAAAUUUCAAGUCCUUGGAAGUUCGCCAAUUUGGAUGUAUAUUUAUUGUAAUAAAUUUUUUUCUACAUAAAA